GCCUCUGUAGCUCAGUUGGUAGAGCAUAGCACUGAAAAUGCUAGGGUCACCGGUUCAAGUCCGGUUGGAGGCACCA
rnacentral:tRNA from 1 species